rnacentral:rRNA from 1 species
AUUGAACGCUGGCGGCAUGCCUUACACAUGCAAGUCGAACGGUAACGGGCCUUCGGGUGCCGACGAGUGGCGAACGGGUGAGUAAUGCAUCGGAACGUACCUUUCAGUGGGGGAUAACGUAGCGAAAGUUACGCUAAUACCGCAUAUUCUGUGAGCAGGAAAGCAGGGGAUCGCAAGACCUUGCGCUGAUUGAGCGGCCGAUGUCAGAUUAGCUAGUUGGUGAGGUAAAGGCUCACCAAGGCGACGAUCUGUAGCGGGUCUGAGAGGAUGAUCCGCCACACUGGAACUGAGACACGGUCCAGACUCCUACGGGAGGCAGCAGUGGGGGAAUUUUGGACAAUGGGGGGCAACCCUGAUCCAGCCAUGCCGCGUGAGUGAAGAAGGCCU